rnacentral:lncRNA from 1 species
GGGCUCUCCAAGCACACCUGGCAGCCUGCAGCCUUUAGGUUUCUUCCCUGUUCCCUCUGCUGCCGACUUUUCUUUCACUUUCACUUAGAGCAAGAUGGCAGCCCGCGUCCCUGUGUGAAGCCGUCUGCAGCAGCUGCCAGAGCCCUGCUUGCUGUUUCCUUUCUCACCACCCACCUCACCCGGAAAUCCCCUGCGCAGGCGCAGCUGGCUGGGCUCCUGCUUCCCACUCUCCACCUCAUCCAUAUUUGUCCUCGUCCCUGCCAGUCUCGAAAAGGCACUCUGUCACGUGUACACAGGAAAGGGCCCUGACAAGAGGAUGGGACUGCAGUUGUGGCUGCCAGGGCCCCGGCCAGGGUGAAAACAAGGAACAUUCCAGAGAAGAUCACAAGGAUGCGAAUAAAAUCGGAGCUGCACAGGGAUCUUUGGGCUGAGCUUUCUGUCUGGCUUCCCUCCUGGCCCCUCGUGUAUGCAUUCUCUCUAGCGGUGGGGAUUAAGGAGAAAACUCACGUGGCCAGUGGGUAGAGAGAGUCCGGGCAGGCAGCUGCCUGAAGUCAGCCAGAGUCUGCAUGUGCCCAGCUGUCCUGGCCUCCAGCAUCUCUGGAAAAACAGAGACAGAAUGAGUAGCAGCAGGGGACCCCAUAGGGCACAUCUGAAGGCCUGAGAGGUGCUGGAUGGGAUGGGAAGGCAGAAACAGGCUGACCUUAUCUAGGGGUAGGAGUGGGGAGUACUGGUUGGGGUAUCACCGCUACCCCACGUGAUGGCACAGAGAGUUGCCUGGAACUUACCACUGACAUAAGGUUGGAGUGCAGUGGCACGAUCUCGGCUCAGUGCAACCUCCGCCUCCUGAGUUCAAGUGAUUCUCCUGCCUCAGCCUCCCUAGUAGCUGGGAUUACAGGACAAGGAGAGGGACAAAUUCCUUCUUGGCAUCCUUAUGGCCCUGUGACCUGCUAAUGAAUGCUGACUCUGAGUUGCUACUAGAAUUUGGUUUCCUUGUGGCUUCCCAGGAAUUGGUCUCACUCUGCUCACUCUGUCUCCCAAGCUGGAGUGCAGUGGUACAGUCACGGCUCACUGCAGCCUCCACUUCCUGGACUCAAGUGAUCUUCUCACUUCAGCCUUCUGAGUAGCUGGGACUACAGCCCCCUCUGCAGCUCUUCAUGGGGGUCCACUCAAGUCAGAAGCCACAUUUGGGUGUGAUUCAGAGAGCUGUUUAUGCAAAACCAGCUUUGUCACCAUCAGGCAAGGCACCUGAAUUCCCACCGCAGAGAGUGUUGUGGCCGUGAGGACUUUUCUGUCACCAGCCAUUUCCAGGUAGACCCAGUGUAAUCACAAGCAUCCUUGUAAGUGGCAAAGAGGCAGAGGAGACAGCGCCAGAGAGGCAGCUGCAUGAGAAGGAUCAAGAUGUUGCUGACUUUGAAGUUGGAAGAAGAAGGCCAUGAGCCUCAGUAUGUGGGCGGCUUCUAGAAGCUGGAAGGGGCAAGGAGAUGGAUUUGACCCUUCAGCCUCCAGGGGCAGCUGUACCUGCCAUCACUGAUUGUAGCCUGGUGAGGCCUGUUUUAGACUUCUGACCUGUAGAGCUGUAACAUAAUACAUUUGGGUUGUUUUCAACCACUAAGUUUGUGGUAAUUUGUUGUAGCAGCUGUAGAAAAUGAAUACAUAUGAAUCCUCUGGCAUUUGUUUGAGAUUUGCUCUAUGGCCUAGUAUGUGGUUGUAAAUGUUCCAUCUGUGCCUGAAAAAAUGUAUAUUUCUAAUUCAGUAGUCUCUGCUUUUUUUUUUUAUUUUGUACCCCAUCAAUAAAAUGAUUUUCAGCAUGUAUCCCCAAAUAAACAAUAUUUUAUUUAUUGAUUGAUUGAUAAACAGACAUGUUUAAUGAUAGCUUGCUUUUCACAGAGGUGACUUCGGAGACUUCUAAUCUAUAAUCCAGGAGUAUAUAACCAUG